GGACGAACGCUGGCGGCGUGCUUAACACAUGCAAGUCGAGCGGUAAGGCCCUUUCGGGGGUACACGGAGCGGCGAACGGGUGAGUAACACGUGGGUGACCUGCCCUCAGCUCUGGGAUAAGCCCGGGAAACUGGGUCUAAUACCGGAUAUGACUCCAUGACGCAUGUUGUUGGGUGGAAAGCCUUGUGCGGCUGAGGAUGGGCCCGCGGCCUAUCAGCUUGUUGGUGGGGUGAUGGCCACC
rnacentral:rRNA from 1 species